AGCUUAGCUUGGCUAGCUAACGUGUAACUGAUAGGAGUUUGCGAUUACCCACAAAAUAAAUAACACACAAAGAAAAUAUGAACCGCUGUAAAUAUUCCCAGAAAUUAAAUGUCCAACAUGUAUCGGAACGAAAGCGGAGCGCACACGAACUGUGCUGGCUCCACCGGUGGUUUUCUUUAUUGCAUUUAUUGAAGAGAUUAAGAAGAGAGCCCCUAAGCUAACACUUAGCCUUAGCAUGCUAGUUAGCAUUAGCCAGUCGCGGCUAACGGCGAUAAUCCGAACAAGUUCGCGGUGCGGUGAGCCGGAGCGUCGGCUCCCGCAGCCGGGGGAGACAAACCACAACAGCCUCCCCCCGGAGUAUGUCUGAACCGGGACCGAAUGUACCGUCACGCACGCGGGCGAGGGGAAGCCCUCCGCGUGGGGGGAAGAAAACAACCGUACCUCGCCUCUCCGCUUCACGGCAGCGACUCCUCCGUUACCGAAGUGGUGAUCGCCAUCUUGUCAGUCCCUGUCGCGUGGUGUCGGCUCGAGCGCGUCCUCGGGUUUUCAGGGCCCGGCGGGCGAAUGUGGCUGAAUGUUAACGUUUCAUCGGACCCUCCAUCUAACUGUCUGCGUGUCGUCAGGUGGAUGGUGUGCGCCCCGGCUCCUGUGAUGACUCGAUGACAUCAGGCCCCUCGUUUGCAUGACUGUAUAAUAAUCAGCGGCAGCGUCUCGAUCACUCCGGCUAUGUCAACACGGCCCUCCCUGUUCCGUCUUGCUGCGCAGCUUGGCAGAGAAAUGAGGAGCAGCCGUGACCUCUCUGCCACAAAUCUGUGAAUGGGCCGCGAAUGAGGAAACGUGGGUACCAGGAGGCUAUCCGGCCUCGGCCGUGAGAAAACGUCCUACUCCCCCGCUCGCUCCUCCUCGGCGAGUCCGGGGGCCCGUGCAGACAGGUGAGUGACCUCUGACCCGGCCUGCCGCGGAGAGCGCCGCUCGACGUGCCAGGAAUGUGUCCACACCUCUCAGCCAACCGCGUCACGGCGAGCGGGCGGGGAGGCGGAGGUGGAAAACACGCAGCCGGCCUAAAACCCAAACAGAGUGUGUGUGCUCGCCCCGGCCUCUCUGUUAUGAUCUACAUUCUGUGGCACUGUGUGAAUGUAGGGGAGAGUGUUUUGGGAGCGAGAGUGACGGAUGUCUUAAUCUGAAGGGACACACAGAACGGAACAGGCGAAUUUGCUGGUGCUAUUCGUACAAUCUACUUCUUGUACUUUUGUGUUUUGCAUUUUUGUGUGUGUGUGUGUGUGUGAGAAAGAGAAGAGGCUGAUAAGGAUAUUUUUGUCUUAAUUUAUGUGAAGUAUUUAAAGGCCUGGACUGUUACAUCAACAGCAAAGAUACUGUUGCUGCUCUGUCAUAAUAAUAAUAAUAAUACUAAUGUACUUAUUAACUUAAUUGCCGAGAUCUUCGAACACUCCUGAACCGAUAUCGAGCAAUCAGGCAACGAUACAGGUUGUAAACAACUCCCAGAUAUGAAUUGAUAAUUCCGAUUAAACCGCAGUUUGUUUACAGCCCGCGUGAUUCGCCUGACUCGUCUUGUUUUCUUGCCCUGUCAGACUUUACUCUUCCCAGAUAUCAGCAGAUGGGAAUUUGCUGGUGCUAUUCGUACAAUCUACUUCUUGUACUUUUGUGUUUUGCAUUUUUUAGCAUCGGAGAAGAGCUUGAAAAGAAAUGACAACAUCCCCAAUUCUUUUUGUGAUGUUGUACUGCUGUGACAACAGCUCCGCUUCAACAUGUGAGGAAAUCCAAAACCGCACCGUGAUUGAACAAUCACUGUUUGGCAGCGAGCUUUAACGAGCAGCUAAUUACUUCUUUGAGUGAAAUAUGAUAAUUACCGACGGAACCACCGGCCAAACUUUUCAGGUCAUCUCUUGCACACCUGACUGAUCUUGUUCUCAAC